rnacentral:sRNA from 1 species
GGUUUAAACCUAGUACCACAAGGUACUAAGGAGUCCAUGCAGUCAUCUGGCUGUGUUGGAACACCUAAAUUUUUGGAUAGCUCUUCCGGGGUAUCCGGGAGGGCAAA